rnacentral:rRNA from 1 species
GCGGAGGAAAAGAAAAUAACAAUGAUUUCCUUAGUAACGGCGAGUGAACAGGAAAAAGCUCAAAGUUGGAACCUGUUUGGCCUAGCUAAACCGGAUUGUAAACUGUAGAAGUGUUUUCCAGGCAAGCCGGACCGAUAAGUCCUUUGGAACAGGGCAUCAUAGAGGGUGAGAAUCCCGUCUUCGGUCUGAGCAUUUGCCUUUUGCGAUACACUUUCAAAGAGUCAGGUUGUUUGGGAAUGCAGCCUAAAUUGGGUGGUAAAUCUCACCUAAAGCUAAAUAUUGGCGAGAAACCGAUAGCGAACAAGUACCGUGAGGGAAAGAUGAAAAGAACUUUGAAAAGAGAGUUAAACAGUAUGUGAAAUUGUUAAAAGGGAACCGUUUGGAGCCAGACUGGCUUGUCUGUAAUCAGUCUAAGCUUCGGCUUGGAUGCACUUGCAGGCUAUGCCUGCCAACGACAAUUUGGCUUGAGGGAAAAAACUAAGGGAAAUGUGGCCCAUCCGCGGGUGUUAUAGUCCCUUAGAAAAUACCUUGGGCUGGAUUGAGGUACGCAGCGAAUGCUAUUUGGCGAGUUGGCUGGGA